rnacentral:misc_RNA from 1 species
GGAUGCCUGCGAGCUCCUCACUCCGAUGCUCGACCUCGAGGAUUUCAGAUCUUGAGUACCCUUCGGAGCCCGAAGUCGGUCCGUUGUCAUCGCAGGCCGCGGCUGAAGAAUCGCGACCGUACCGCAAGUUCCAUAUUUCCGUCAAACGCUCCUACCGAUCGUUUUUUCUUGUCGCGGAUGAUCCAACGCGGAUGGAUCAUGCGCCGCGAAGCGGUUUCGCGUUCGGAGUGACCAGCGGUCGGUUUAUCGGGGACUUUUACGGUGAUGAAUGUGAAAAUACAGAUCAGUGUAGCGAGGAACGGUUGAACCGAUGCUUUCGAAUCCCACGAUUCUUUGAGAAGCCCAAACAAAGUUCACCGUGAGUGUCUGGAGCGUAAUCGUGCGUGUGUGUUGACAAGUGUUUUCUGGCAAGCGCGUAUUCAUCGGUCGGAAUAACGUGCCCGUAGUCCAAUAAACUUGGAAAAUGUUCGAGUGACGGGAAUCGGGGGAACUUUUUGGAAGCGGGGAAGAAAGACGGAAAGUCACGCGGCUCAAGCAGGUCCGAAUUUUACCGUCCCCGAGAUGAUGACCUUGAUGACAGACGUCGGUCAGUAUCCCUACGAGGCGGGGAGCAGGUCCUCGUACGAAAGUUAUCACCAUCAUCGACAUCAUCAUCACUUCUACGCGACAACUUCCGACGCCGAUUACCUCCAACGAUACUCCAACGAUCGGGACGAUCAUCCGAGGGCCACAAGCGCCGAUGGGAGCUUGGCUUCGGCUGAAAGCAACGGCUCUGGACGCUGCUAUCAUCGAGAUCCUCUACGAUCGCAAUCCCGGUACACCCCAGACUCCGACGACGCGUCCUCGGUCAUUUCUGCGGAUGCGUCCGCGGAUUUGGAGUCGCCAUCGGCUGACGGCGAGGAGGCGGGGGAGGGAGAAGCCGUCGAGCACGUGCCGCACCCCCACGUCCUGGACGCCGGAAGUCCCCACGGACCGCGAAGGUGUCUCUUGUGGGCGUGCAAGGCGUGCAAGAAGAAGACGGUGACGGUCGACCGAAGGAAAGCGGCGACGCUGAGGGAGCGAAGACGUCUGCGGAAGGUGAACGAAGCCUUCGAGGCUUUGAAACGACGGACGAGCAACAACCCGAACCAGCGUCUGCCCAAGGUCGAGAUUCUCAGAAACGCCAUCGAGUACAUCGAGAGCCUCGAAGCCCUUCUUCAAGGCAGCAUCACUCCCGGCUCCCAGGAUCAUCCUUCCGUCGAGAACAUGAACGGAGAAUCACCGCAGUACGUCACCGACAGGCUGCACCAGUUCUCGGAUCCCUUAGCGAGGUUUCAACCAAUCAAUGAAAAACUGACGGACGAAGAUACAUCCGGACGUUACGUCCCCUCAUAAUCCAAGAGAAUCACCACCGAGCCUCUGUUCAACAACCCUUAAUCGAGCAUUUCUCAAGUUUUAACCUUGUUCGCCGAAAAGUUUCCUCAGUUCAAGCAUAACGUUCCAUUCACUCGGUAUUAUAAGUUCUCGGUGAGUUCUGCCAACCGUACAACGAGAGGAUGGUACAACUUUUGUUGACAAACGCGAUGAGAAAGAAAAGAAGGAAGUAUCGGUUACGUUUACA